rnacentral:rRNA from 1 species
AGAGUUUGAUCAUGGCUCAGGAUGAACGCUAGCGACAGGCCUAACACAUGCAAGUCGAGGGGUAACAGGGGCUUCGGCCCGCUGACGACCGGCGCACGGGUGAGUAACGCGUAUGCAACCUGCCUGUAACAGCGGGAUAGCUCCUGAAAGGGGAAUUAACACCGCAUAAGACCACGCUCUCGCAUGGGGACGGGGUAAAAUAUUUAUAGGUUACAGAUGGGCAUGCGUGACAUUAGUUAGUUGGUGAGGUAACGGCUCACCAAGACUGCGAUGUCUAGGGGUUCUGAGAGGAAGGUCCCCCACACUGGAACUGAGACACGGUCCAGACUCCUACGGGAGGCAGCAGUGAGGAAUAUUGAUCAAUGGACGCAAGUCUGAACCAGCCAUGUCGCGUGCAGGAUGACUGCCCUAUGGGUUGUAAACUGCUUUUAUAUUGGAAGAAUUGCGCUUACGAGUUAAGCGUUUGACGGUACAUUAUGAAUAAGGAUCGGCUAACUCCGUGCCAGCAGCCGCGGUAAUACGGAGGAUCCGAGCGUUAUCCGGAUUUAUUGGGUUUAAAGGGUGCGUAGGCGGAAAUGUAAGUCAGUGGUGAAAUCCUGCAGCUUAACUGUAGAAUAGCCGUUGAAACUGUGUUUCUUGAGUACAUUUGAGGUAGGCGGAAUGUGGUGUGUAGCGGUGAAAUGCAUAGAUAUACCACAGAACACCGAUUGCGAAGGCAGCUUACUAAACUGUCACUGACGCUGAUGCACGAAAGCGUGGGUAUCAAACAGGAUUAGAUACCCUGGUAGUCCACGCUGUAAACGAUGAUUACUGGUUGUUUGCGAUACACUGCAAGUGACUGAGCGAAAGCAUUAAGUAAUCCACCUGGGGAGUACGUCGGCAACGAUGAAACUCAAAGGAAUUGACGG